GAUUUCACAUAUGCUUCCUGCCCCCACACAUACAUAGCUUCCCCGGUUAUCAACGUCCCCUACCAGAGUGGUACGUUUGUUACAGUCAAAUUUGUUACGUUGAUGCAUCAUUAUCAUCCAGAGUCCACAGCUUACAUUUGGGUUCACUCGGUGUUGCACAUGCUAUGGGUUUGGACAAAUGUAUAAUGACAUGUAUCCACCAUUACAGUAUCACGUUGAGUCGUUUCCCUGUCCUAAAAUCCCUCUGUGCUCUGCCUAUCAUUUACUUAUUUUUAAAAUGUGUCUGUCACUUAGCAGUUUAUAAUCUGGGAGGUAAUUUUCAUAGUCUAUCUCAGGUGAGCUUCUUUUAAAUGGGACUAUCUGAUGUACUGUGACAUGUUUUUGCAUAGAGGAGACCACACAUGUCAUCACCCCCACGAAAAGCCAUCGCACCACCACUGCACUGGCGACUUCACCUCAAUGUCAUUCAGAACCACGUGAACAAAGGCUGCUGAAUCCCAAACACAUCGGUCUUUCCCAUGCAGAAGCCCUCCUAAUCCAAUUUUAAACACCAAAUUGGGACUACAAGCAAAAGGUUAUGACACAGCAGUAUGCAAUCUUUUUCUCCUCAAGAGAGGCAAAGUAAAUUCAGUUGCAAUUUUCUGUCUUCUAGAGGAGUUUCUAGGAUUCAACACAACAUUAAAUUUUUGGCCUGUCUCUUUAAUUUGAGAAAUUGUAAAAACGACGACAGAUGGCACACAGAAUUGACUUAUGUCCUCUAUUCUUUACUGAAGAAGGGAGUGCACGGAAACUUUGAUAAAGGCAGAAGCUACAGUAGGCAGGUCACUAUUAAAAUUAUCUAGCGGCUCUUUGGGCAGCUACCAUCAGAACCUUCAGGCUUUCUUUUUUAGAUAUUCUUUAAAACCAACCAAGACUGUUGUAGGUUGCCACUGGUGAUCAUAGUCCCAAUGCUCAGAACCCUCCUGUCUCAAUAAAGACAUGAUGGAUGUGCCAUUAGCCCUGAACCCUGGCAACCUCUGAAAUUACCCCUCUUUCUAUCCAAAUCUCCCACCCCCACCCCUCAAAAUCAUUAGGAAAUAGGAAGAACACUCAAGCAUACAGCUAAUUGGAAACACUGCAAGAGAAGAGGAAUGCUUAGGACAGCAUGUCCACAGGAAAACAAAUCACCCAGCAUUGUUAUUUAAUGCAUUGUGACAUCAUUUCCUGAAAUUAAACAGAGAUGACACCAGCUCAGACGCUCUCCAGUAUAAGGUUCCAUUCAAAUAAUUCACAGAUGUUUUCUCCUGGCAAGCAGGAAAACAAUGCAAAGGCUAAGGCCAGGGGCGGCCCCACUCUGCCGCAUGUUUGCGGGAAGCUCUCCCUGCUGGUGUGUCUCAGCUGUGUGCUCGGCAUGUGCAUCUCCACAGAAGUAUUUCUUAGCCCAUGAGCCCCACUUGCAUUCAGUGCACAUUCGCAUCUCUGAAUAUGAGAAAGGCCAUCUCUCACUGCAUAAAUUCCAGGCUCUAUGCUCUUAACCUCUACGCCGCACUGCCUCAUUUAAGAAAAGGAGCCAUCUGCAUCUUCACAAGAGGAAGAAAACUAGUUAAAAGCACAACCAGGGGAGCUCUUGAAGGUGGCAAGUGGAGGUGCCUGAGAGCCUAAUCAAGCACACUAAGGGCUUCUUGGCGUGAAGGAGUUUUUCAUGGUUAUGAAUAAACCGUCAGCCUGGGUAUUAUUUCUUGCUGUUUCUUUCUUUAACUAUCUUUGAAGUCAAAUAAAAACAGUUGUAAUGGCAGGCUUACUUUUAUGAUAUCAUAAUCUCCAUGUGUUAGCAAAAGGCAUAUACUUCCCUAGGAUUUCCCUAAGUUUUUUAUUUUUGCCACUGGGUACUUUCCAGCAAAAGCAUAUACAUUUCUAACAGAGCCUUUCUUCAAUCUUCACUAGAUUUCUUAGGCUGAGAAGCCAGGCACAGCCAUAAGCCAAUGGAAGAGGGUAGUGGUAUAUAUGAUGCUUUCGCUAGUCAAGUCUCUAAAAAAAAAAAAAGGAUCGAUUUUCUUAAAAUUAUUGUGAGUUUUUUAGAGGGGAUUUUUCUAAAGAAAAUUUUGAAAAUCUGUAGUUAGAAACUAGAAAGUAAUUAUUUAGCCUCAGAUCAACCAAAUUUAAAGUGCUUAACUCUGAAUAUGGAAACUCUUCAAUUCAUCAAAUAACUUGUGUUUUUUUUUAAUGCCACUUUGGAUUUAAAUAUUUUCCUUAAUAUAAUCCAUUAGCUGCAAG